CCGAAUAAUAAGGUUAGGAUUAGAUUAAAUCAAAUAAUUAAAAUAAUAGGAAUAGGAAAAUAAUAAAUAAAUAAAACAAACCAGGAUGGGGAAUAUCUCCAAAUCACGUUGCUUCAACAGGGAAAAAUCCCUAACCCUCCUUCUACCUCAUCUUCUCCCAUCUUCAUUGGCGACACCUUCUCUUCUCCACUGGCAGCGGCGGCGUCGGCACGUGGCUCUACUCUCCUUGGCCGAGAUGGAAGAACAGUGAGAGUCAUUUUGGCUCAUUCUUCUUCGUUCAUCACCAACGGAGCCUGAGUAUGCGCCUUUUUCCUUCUGGACGUUAGUAGGGUCUAUUCGCAUGAUUGUUCUCAUCGACAGAACCCCAACCUUCACGGUGGCUUCCGAUUCUGGUUCCUACUCGUACGACGACUUAUGGUGGUUCGAUUGGUGAAGGUGGAGUCACGGUGGGGAACACCGAUUAUCACAGUGGCUUGAAGAAUUGAUGUUUAUCUUUCUCCAUUUUUACUUUCCUUUAACCAUGAACCCAUGCUCUUUUCUAUGUCCUAUUUAUUUCUCACAGCUUUUCAUUCUAACAAAGUCUCCUUUAAAGCAUAGGGAGGACACCAACAAGGUCGGCGUAUGAUGGCGUUAAUUCCGCAAUGAAAACGGUGUAACCAUGACUCCACGGUUGGUUAUUGGCAAAGGAUUUUGGUAAAGAACCCUAUCCCUCUUCCAAUCUAACUUUACGUAUUUGUCAUAGUAUGAAGUAAUUUGCAAUAUGAUGAGAAAAAACCAAUUGGUAUGAAUGUUCAUCCAGAAACAAAUUU
rnacentral:lncRNA from 1 species